UGCUCAUGACAUGAUGACAAAAGCAAGACAGCUACCACUUCUAAUGAUUUGAGUCCAAACCUUGUUAACAUAAUGAAUGAUUCUGGGUAUUCAGGAUCAGGGCAAAUAGAUAUAUUUCUACAGUUGACUGACUAAAAUAAGAGAUGAAAUCGGUACCUUAGCCUAGUUUAUAUCCACAGCUGACUAAAUAAAAUACAACUGUUGCGACCUGCUUUGAAUCAAAAAGAAAGGCAAAGGGUUUACGGCUUUACACAACAAGCAAAACGGCUUCCUAUCAUAGUUGCAAGGGCCCAAACACACUCCUGAUCAUCGUUCUACUGCACUGGCCUGUCCUCUCGGCACCUUUUAUAGAAGGCAGGGAGUGUGAUAAUAUACACGCUUCCUUUUGCUUAUUGGCCUUUUCAAGCCUUUUCAUGUAAGAAUAGCUUCUUAAACUAUUUUAAAUAAUAUGAGACCACCAAGGGUAAAGGCUAGACUCUUCCGUUCAAAAACAACAGACCUACUUCUAAUUCUAGGUGUUAGCAUGUAGUGAAGACUGAGGAGUCCCCUUUUUAUAUACUGAUAUAUGUUGCUCGGACUCUCCAAAAAUGUCGUCAGGUGUAUGUCAGAUCAUCCAUACAUUUUUGGAGGAUCCGCCACGAGUAUAAUAGUAAUUUGGAAAGUUCGUGCAACAUAGAAUAGUUAGUAUUGGAAACAUCCAGCUCAUAUUUUUCAUGUGUGUUAAUAUUAUCAUCUACCGCAAAUGUUGUGCAGCUUGGUACGAGAGGCGACAGAUGAAGAAGAUAUACUCUCCGUUACUAGAAGCCAUGUUAGCGCUUUACCUUGGGUUUGAAUGGAUCCAGGUAACACAGAUUUUCGUCGUAUUUAUUGGUACUAGUCUGAAAUUCAAAGGUUGUGUCGACAUGAAUUUUGUGUCACUAUAGCUUAUUUGUUCUUGCAAAUGCAACAGACAAACAAUAUUCUUGCACCUAUAAUCACACAUGGGAUAUACUCUGCUGUUAUUCUGGGACAUGGACUUCGCAAAAUCCACGAUCAUCGGAGAAGACUACAUCAGAGAAUCCAAACACUUAAACAAGAAGGUAACAAUUCAAGAAACUUGUAAACUGCCUACAAUAGUGAGAAUCAAAUAAUUAGCUCGCUUGCAGGAACGUUUUGAACUGUAAUUUGGAGAGGUCGUAGUAUUGUAUAAAUCUACGUAGCAUAU
rnacentral:lncRNA from 1 species